CUGAAGUUUCCUGGCAUAAGACCAACUCUAGGCUCCAGGCAAACUAGUUUGUCCAAUCCAAGUCAUUGUCUGUAGUGCCAAUACACUUUUAUUUUUCACAAUUCUGGAAUCUGCAUAUCCUACAUUGCAGUCAGGAUGGUACAGAGCGUCCUCUCUUUCACCUCACAAUU